GACGAACGCUGGCGGCGUGCCUAAUACAUGCGAGUUGAGCGCUGAAGGUUGGUACUUGUACCAACUGGAUGAGCAGCGAACGGGUGAGUAACGCGUGGGGAAUCUGCCUUUGAGCGGGGGACAACAUUUGGAAACGAAUGCUAAUACCGCAUAAAAACUUUAAACACAAGUUUUAAGUUUGAAAGAUGCAAUUGCAUCACUCAAAGAUGAUCCCGCGUUGUAUUAGCUAGUUGGUGAGGUAAAGGCUCACCAAGGCGAUGAUACAUAGCCGACCUGAGAGGGUGAUCGGCCACAUUGGGACUGAGACACGCCCCAAACUCCUACGGGAGGCAGCAGUAGGGAAUCUUCGGCAAUGGACGAAAGUCUGACCGAGCAACGCCGCGUGAGUGAAGAAGGUUUUCGGAUCGUAAAACUCUGUUGGUAGAGAAGAACGUUGGUGGGAGUGGAAAGCUCAUCAAGUGACGGUAACUACCCAGAAAGGGACGGCUAACUACGUG
rnacentral:rRNA from 1 species